UAACAUUUGGAAACAGAUGCUAAUACCGCAUAAACCUAACACCGCAAUGGUGUAGGGUUGAAAGAUGGUUUCGGCUAUCACUUUAGGAUGGACCCGCGGUGCAUUAGUUAGUUGGUGAGGUAAAGGGCUCACCAAGACCGUGAUGCAUAGCCGACCCGAGAGGGUAAUCGGCCACACUGGGACUGAGACACGGCCCAGACUCCUACGGGAGGCAGCAGUAGGGAAUCUUCCACAAUGGACGAAAGUCUGAUGGAGCAACGCCGCGUGAGUGAAGAAGGUUUCGGAUCGUAAACUCUGUUGUUGGAGAAGAAUGUAUCUGAUAGUAACUGAUCAGGUAGUGACGGUAUCCAACCAGAAAGCCACGGCUAACUACGUG
rnacentral:rRNA from 1 species